GCAAAGAAAACAUGUCUUUAUAACAUCUCCAUGUUUGACUCACUUUAACACAGGUGUAAAUGAAAAGUAAUUUUUAGUAUUUUCAAAGGAAACAUUAGGUAUGUUCUUUCUCAAAAAUGAAAUAAUAAUCUUAAAACGGGAUGUUUGGGUAGCAUAAUGUCCGUUUCUUCACAAACAGGGCCAUUAUGUGAGUGUGCAGGUUUGUAAUGCAUGUGUGUGUGUGAGAGAGAGAGA
rnacentral:misc_RNA from 1 species